rnacentral:rRNA from 1 species
AGUGAACGCUGGCGGUAGGCCUAACACAUGCAAGUCGAACGGCAACAGAGUAAGGGAUUGUGACGACUGGCGGCGGGUGGCGGAAUACAUCGGAACGUGCCGGAUCGUGGUUUUUCACGGGGCGAAAGGUUGGCUAAUACCGCAUACGACCUAAGGAUGAAAGCGGGGGAAAUUCGGACAUCUCGGGAACUGAGCGGCCGAUGUCAGAUUAGGUAGUUGGUGGGAUAAAAGCCGACCAAGGCGACGAUCGGUAGCUGGUCUGAGAGGAUGAUCAGCCACACUGGGACUGAGACACGGCCCAGACUCCUACGGGAGGCAGCAGUGGGGAAUUUUGGACAAUGGGCGAAAGCCUGAUCCAGCCAUACCGCGUGCAGGAUGAAGGCCUUCGGGUUGUAAACCGCUUUUGUUCGGAAAGAAAAGCAUCUUGCUAAUAACCAGCGGUUCUGACGGUACCGUAAGAAUAAGCACCGGCUAACUUCGUG